rnacentral:rRNA from 1 species
CACGCCGUAAACGAUGGAUGCUAGCCGUUAGGCAGCUUGCUGCUUAGUGGCGCAGCUAACGCUUUAAGCAUCCCGCCUGGGGAGUNACGCGCAGAACCUUACCAGCUUUUGACAUGUCUUGGACGGAUAGCAGAGAUGUUAUCUUCUCUUCGGAGCCAGGAACACAGGUGC